AGUGAACGCUGGCGGUAGGCCUAACACAUGCAAGUCGAACGGCAGCACAGGAGAGCUUGCUCUCUGGGUGGCGAGUGGCGGACGGGUGAGGAAUACAUCGGAAUCUACUUUUUCGUGAGGGAUAACGUAGGGAAACUUACGCUAAUACCGCAUACGACCUACGGGUGAAAGCAGGGGACCUUCGGGCCUUGCGCGAUUGAAUGAGCCGAUGUCGGAUUAGCUAGUUGGCGGGGUAAAGGCCAACCAAGGCGACGAUCCGUAGCUGGUCUGAGAGGAUGAUCAGCCACACUGGAACUGAGACACGGUCCAGACGCCUACGGGAGGCAGCAGUGGGGAAUAUUGGACAAUGGGCGCAAGCCUGAUCCAGCCAUACCGCGUGGGUGAAGAAGGCCUUCGGGUUGUAAAGCCCUUUUGUUGGGAAAGAAAUCCAGCUGGCUAAUACCCGGUUGGGAUGACGGUACCCAAAGAAUAAGCACCGGCUAACUUCGUGCCAGCCGCCGCCGUAA
rnacentral:rRNA from 1 species